CCGGAAGUUACUCUGUGUUGCCUGCGCUUGCGCAAGUGUUGACUGUUUUGGUUCUGUUUUGUUUAGUUGGGGAAGUUUGUGGAAGGGAAUUUAUCUCAGAUCUCGCUAAUGUUGGAAUUCAUCCCACCCGGCAGCCUGAGCCGAUAGCUCUUCGGUAUUUCGUGGUUGAGCUUCCUGCUACGCAGCGUUUACCUGUCCCUUUAGCCCGAGAGAAGUCCUAAAGUCGCCCAUGGGGGCGGACAGGAGCCCGUGGUGAUCUUAGUCUGUUACUCCAUGAACUGCUUGAGUUGCUUCCGAAUCAUCUCACCUCAUAGGGACCCGGCUUGAGAGAGCCCAGCUCGAUGUCCCCAGAUUUUUCCCUCUUCCUGGGACCUUUGGGACUGAAUAGUAACUGUCUCUAGGAUCACAGAUGUAAGAACUGGCCUUUAGGUCAUCGAGGGCAGACCUCUUCAUUUUACAUAUGAGAACACUAUGGCUCAAGGUUAAAAGAAUAGUUCAGGUUCAUGCAAUCGUCUGACGGGGGGUUCGAAGCUAUGUCUUCCUGAUUACAAGUCCUAUUCUCUAUCUGUUACAUUAUACUGCCUUUGUUGGGGCCGGAGAAGUGGAUUUGGAGUGAGAGGACGUGAGUUCCAAUCUCAGAUCUUCUCAGUUUCUGUGGGACCUUAGUUCGUGAUCCCUACCAUCAUUGAAGAAUCCCAUGCUUCUAAUCUUGGAGACAUUUAUGAUUUCUCCCUUCCUCUACACAUCCAAUCAAUUACCAGGCUCUUUCACUCCUCCUGAAAUCAUCUCCCUGGAACACUGAAAUAGCCUCCGAAGCAACUUGAAUAUGCACUUAAUACUUCUGCCACUGAUAAGAAGAGUGUCAUUUCACUGGUAUAAGGAAUUCUUGUUGAGAAAAAUUUGGAUUAGCACCUUCACAAUUUAUGGGAUUAGAGAGUCGCCUAAAGCCCUAAAUAGUUAAGUGACUUGACCAGAACGAAUAGCCUGUAGGUAUCUGAAGUGGCACUUGAACACAGAUUUUCUUGGCUUUAAGGUUAACUCUUUCCAUUAAGCACUGCCUCUCUUGGCCUUGACUGUUCUGAUCAAGGCCCUUUACUUAACUGUCUGUGAUUUCCCAUUGCUUUCAAAAUAAAAAGUAUAAACUCCUUACUGGCAUUUAAGGAUUUUCUCAAUCUGAAUCCAUUUUAUAUCUGUCUUACCUUUAUUCAUACUAUACUCAAUCUGUUCAUUCCAGUUUAUUAACCACCUACUAUAUUGAAGACCCUGAGUAAGGAGAACAAAUACAGUAAAAACCUGACCUCAAGGAGUUUAUAAGAUACUUUCAGUCACCUUCAAAUAUUCCUUAUUUUAGCUAAACUAUUCAUUCUUUUUUUUUAUUUUAACCCAUACCUUCCAUCUUAGAAUCAAUAGUACUUAUUGAUUCUAAGGCAGAAGAGUGAUAAGGGCUAGGCAAUGGGGGUUAAGUGACUUGCCCAGGGUCAUACAGCUAGGAAGUGAGAUCAGAUUUGAAUCCAGGGACCUCCUGUUUCUAGACCUGGCUCUCAAUCCACUGAGUCACCCAGCUGCCCACAACUAUUCAUUCUUAAUUCCUGUCCUGCUAUCUGAAUCUUUCUGCCUUUGCUUAUUCUUUUCCUUAUACAUGGAAUAUACACUUUUUUGCCCCCAUUUGGAGAAGACCCAACUCAGAUUUUACCUCUAUUAAGAAACAGAAUCAUUCCACCUGGUUGAAGGAGUACAAGUAUGGAAAUAUUAUUAUCACUCAUAAUAUAUAUUGCAAACAAUAUCUUACCUCCUCCACUUUUUCUUAGAAUUUUGUCUGAAUCUUUAUUUUGCACUCAUCUUGCUCUUACUUGUACCAUAGUUAUUUUAGGUAUUUGUCUUUUCCUUUCACCCCGGAGGCUCAGGAUUUUUCUAUGUGGUAGAAAGACAUGGAAUAUAAUUCCUUGUGCAGAAUUGAACAUGAGUAUCACAUAAGAGAGAAAUGGAGAGGAGCAUGGUUGGUGUAAGCAGAAUGCAAUAACCAAUGAAGAAUUCUGAAAAACAAGAGUAAAAGAUAUCAAGGAAUUACAAUAGGAAGAGUACAUGGGCUGGUUAUGUGAAAGAAGUAUAAGCAGCAGACAGCCAAAUUAUUCUAUUGAUAUGUCAGGAAAAGGAGAGGAAAGCCUCUAGCACAUUGGGUAGACCUUGUGUGAAACUUAUGGGGUCACAUAAAUGAGUCCCACAGGAUGAACAGGAAUGGAUGGGCUGCAAUUUUCAUUAUUGGAAGAAACUCUGAAGUUGAUGAAAUCAUAGAUCUAUUUAAGUAGCAUGUUUGAGUAGGUAUAUGUGUGUACAUAUAUGUGUAUGACUUUACAUAUAUACUGAGAAAAAGUAUAAUUUAAGAAAGUAAUAACACUAUUUGUAUCUCCCUUCUGCACUUUUUCUUCUAUGCAGUUAAAAAUAUUUUUCUAUUUUUUUGUGUGUGUAAAUAUCAUUAACUACUAACUUACCUCUCCCUCCAAUAGAAUCUCUCCUUUUUAACAAAUAUGUAUGAUCCAGAAAAAAACAAAUCAAUACAUUAGCCAUGUCCAAGAAUGCAUAUCUUCUUGUACAACUCUCCUCCAUCCUCUCUGUCAAGAAGUGGGAGGUAUGUUUCAUCAUCAAUGUCUUGAAGUCAUUAUUUUUCACUGCUUUAAUCAGAAUUUUGAAAUCUUUGUUUUCAUAAAUCUUGUUACCAAAGGCAGAGGAACACAUUCUAGAUGUCAAAAAAUUAAAGUUAUCAUUUAAAAAUGUUAAUAACUAAAAUAACAAUUGUGCCAGAAACAAAAUAAUGCAAUUAAAAGUCAUGUAGCACAGGGGAAGCUUAAGGGUAAAAGAGGGUUAUUAGAAACCUAUUCUAUAUUUAGAUAGUAAAAGUCAGGGAUAAGAGGGAAUCUAAAAAAAGUGGUCAUAAUGUGGACCUUUUGUUAUAUAUUUUUCUCUGAACCUAUCAUAACCCUCUCUUCUCCAAAACAGUUAAGUAAAAUAAUAAAAAAAUCAUUGUGGCUGAUAACAUAGGUACUUGACAUUCUUCUUCUAUUUCGUGACAGAAUUGUAUGUUUUAUACAUUAGUAUUAAUGUUACCCAGUGAUUUUGAUUUAAUUUUUUUUUGCCAUUUAAAAAUAAUUUACAUCAAUGGAGAAAUUGUUAUUCUUCUGGUUCUUCUUUGUUCACUUCAUACAAAUCUUCUCAUAUUUCACUUGCUGAGGCAAAGGAAUGUUCCUUUAUUAUAUUAAUAAGUCACAAUUUGUUCUACCAUUCCACAAUUAUUGGGUACAUAAUACUAUGAAUAUUUUGUGCCAAUAGGGCACCUUGUGUCAAUAACCUUCUUGGGAUAUAAACCCAAUUAAUGGUAUUUCGUAGCUGUGGAAUGUGAAAAAAAAUUUUUUUUGCAUAAUUUCAAAAAAAUUUUCUGAGAUAGUUUGACUAAUUCACAAUUCCACCAGGGGUGAAUUAAUGUGCCUUCAUGCUUGAAUACUAGCUAGACCUUGCCUGGCUCACAAGUAAGCAAUAAAAAUGACAUUUCAGGUCCUGUUUGGGAGUGUGAAUUCAUUAAGAAUCAGGAGGAUACUGAGUUGAAGAAGGAAAGAAGGAAAUGGAUAUAUGAAGUAAAUAUUUUAAAAAUCAUAUAAUAAAAAUUAGAGAAGAGAGUAAAAUUCGAUUGACAACAAUGACUAGGUAGUGAAUGCUUAACUAAAGAGAAGUGAUCAUAAAAGAUAAAAUGCAUUAUUUUGGUUACACAAAACGGAAAUGCUUUUCACAAAGAAAAUUAAUCCAGGUAGGAUUAGAAAAGAAGCAGUUAACUGGUUUUAAAAAAUCUUUUUAUACCUAAAACUGAUAAAGGUCUGACAACCAGAUAUAUGCACACAUCUAUUCUCUGGUAGAUAGGUGGUCAAAAUAUAUGCACAAGGAAUUUUCAAAUGGAAUGCAAGCUAUUAACCAGCAACUAUAUGAAAAAUGUUCCAAAUGACUAAUAAAAAAAAAAAAACUUAUUGAAGCAACUCUUAGGUUCUACCUUACUCAUCUGUUUGGCUAAUCAAUUGUGACAGUCAGUUAUUAGGCUGAGCAGUGAGGAAAACACAGACAUGUGAAAUAAAUAGUGGACACACUAAUAGUUCGAAGGAUCAGAAAAGACUUCAUGAAAUAGAGCUUGAGCUGAGUUUUGAAGGAAACAAGAUUAAUUAGAAGUGAAGAUUCAGAGGUAGUACAUUCCAGGCAUGAGGGACAGCCAGUGAAACAGUCUGGCUAGAAUGCAGAUUGCAGGAAGGAGCAUAAUGUCCCACUAGAUAGGAAAAGUAGAUUGAAGCCUGUUUAUAAAGAGCUUUAAUGGUGGUUUUUAAUUAAUCCUAAAGGCAACAAAAGGAAGCAGCUAGGUGGCUCAGUGAAUAGAGCAUUGGCCCUGGAGUCAGGAAAAUCCAAGUUCAAAUUCAGCUUCAGAUAUUUAACUGGCUGUGUGACCUGGGGCAAAUCACUUAAUAUCUGUUUGCCUUUAUCCACUGGAAAAGGAAAUGGCAAACCAUUGCAGUAUCUUUGCCAAGAAAAUCCUAUGGACAGUAUUGUCCAUGGGGUCACAAAGAGUUAGCUAGGACUGAAUAACAAAAACAAAAGGGAUUAGAAACUAUUGUAAUUAUUGAAUCAUUGUAAAUAAUCAAAAUAUGAAGUCAUAGACGGAUUUGUACUUUAAGAAAAUCCAUUUUAAGAACUGUGGAUGUUGUUGCAGAAUGAGAUAUGAGAUAGGUAAAUGAAUUAAGAGGUAAAUGCAAAAAUCCCAGUAAAGGGUGAUGAGAGCAUGAACUAAGGUGGCAGCUAUGUAAAUAGGUGGAAAAAAAAAAGACACAAGAAAUAAUGUAGAGUUGUUGGUUUUUUAUUAAUUCCAGAAUAGCUUGAAUGUAUGGACCAAGGGAGAAUAAGGAGUCAUGAAACCUUUUCAUCCCUCCUCAGUUUCAUGCCUCCUCUGCCUCUCAUCCUUUCAGCUAAGAAUCUUGCCUCAUAUUUUACAGAGAACAUGAAGUCUUUUUGUUAUGAGCUCCCUCUUUCUCCUCUUCCUAAUUCUAUCCACUCAAAUGCCUUCUGCCACCCUCUCCUCCUUUACCCCUGUGCCACAUGAGUGGUUGGCCUUUAUCAAGGCCAACUCUUCUACCUGUACAAGUAAUCCUACCCCAUGAUAUAUCCUCCUCUGCCAUACCUUCCUUUAUCACUUAUUUUCAAUCUGUCUGAUGACUCCUUCCCUUCUGCCUACAAACAUGCCAAUUCCUCCAUGUCCUCAAAAAACCCUCUCCUUGAUCCUUCUAUCUCAGCUAACCAUCAUUCUCUAUCUCUUCAACCCUUUGUGGUUAAACUCUUUGAAAGGUUAUCUAUAAUAGGUACCUCUUCUUUCUUUCCUCUCUCUUCAUAACUCCAUACAAUCCAGCUUCUUCUACUCAUCAUUCCACUAAAACAGCUCUCUCUAAGGUUAACAUUCUCAGCAAUGUCAUAAUUUAGAACCAUCCCAAAGAUUCAUGAUGAAAAAUGCCAUCUGCUUUCUGAGAAAGAACUGAUGGACUGAAGCAUACAUUUCAUUUUUUUUUUUAAUUUGAGAUCUCUUCCACAAAAUAACUAAUAAAAUGUUUUACAUGAUAAUAUAAGUAAAAUCUGUAUCAUACUGAUUACUGUCUCAGAGAGGGGAAAGGAAUAGGAGAGACAGAACAAGUGUGGGAAGGAGGGAAAAGAUUUAGAACUCAAAAUUUAAAAAAAAUGAACUUUAAAAACAUUUUUACAUAUAAUUGGGGGGAAAUAAAAUAUUAAGUUACCAGAGAGCUCUUAGUUGCCAAAUCAGUGGCCUUUUAAAAUCCUUUUUCUCCUCCACAUAUGCAACCUUUGACACCGUUCAUCACCCUAUUCUCCUUGAUACUUUUUUCUCUUUAGGUUUUUGGGACAUCACUCUUACCUGGUUGUUUUUUUUCCCCUACCCAACUGCUCCUCAGUCUCAAUUGCUGGAUCCUCUUCCGGAUUCUGCUUGGUGUCUCACAGGAUUCUAUUUUAGGCCUUCCUCUAUACGGUUUCAUUUGGGGGGAAGGGGAGUUACCUCAGCUCCCAUAUAUAGUUAGCAUCUUUGUUGAGGAUUCACAUAUCCCACCAUCCUAACCCAACCUCUCUGUUGGCCUCUAGUCCUGCAUCUCUGCCUGCCUUUUAGACAUCUUAGGCUACAUAUCCAGUACCUCAGUAUGUCCCAAAGUGAACCCAUUAUCUUAACCCCCCAAGCCUUUGCUGCCCUCCUAACUUUUCUGUAAAGGACACUACCAUUCAGUCCCCCUCACUGGCAAUCUAGGUGUCAUUCUGGACUCCUUGCUCUCAUCCCCACUAUCCAGUCUAUGGCCAAGGUUUGUAGCUUUCACCUCUCCAUUUCUAUAAGCCCCCCUCUCUCCUCUUACAUUGCCCCCACUCUGGAGGCAGGCCCUUUUUACCUCACUCCUUGAACUAUUCAAAAAGCCUUCUGGUGAGUCAGCCUGCCUCAGAUUUCUUCCCAUGCUAAUUCAUUCUCCAACUAGCAAAUUGAUUUUUCUAAAAUGCAGGUCCAACUUUGUCACCACCCAACUCAAUAAAACUAGCAGCUGUUAUCUCCAAGAUCAAAUACAAAAUUCGAUGGUGUUCAAAGCCUUUAAUAACCUAGCCCCCUCCUACCUUUCCAGUCUUCUUAUACAGCUUCUCUGACUUAAGUCCCAACCAAAAUCCCUUCUACAACAGCAGUAUCAAAGUCAGAGGCUUAGUAAACUGUACAUAAGGAUCCUUGUAGGUGCACAUUGACUUGGAAAAUCAGAGUAAUAUUUUAUUGCAUAUUUAUUUUACUAAAUAUUUCCCAAUUGCCUUUUAAUCUGACUCAGGCCACACCAGUGAGUGUUGCAGGUAUGCAUUGGAAACCCUAUUUUACAAUAAGUCUUUUCCAUGAGCCAGGUUUGAAUUGUUCCCAAGUCUUGGCAGCACAGUCAUAAUAUGUAUUUAGUACUUCAUUAUCCAUGUAGACACCAUUGAUGAAAUGUAGAGGUGAGUGCUAUUUUCCCCAUUUUACUGGUAAGGAAACAGAGGCACAGGUUCACAGUGAAUAUGCCAGGGAAUAGGUACCACCAGUCAGAUAGACUAUAAACUCUGAGGGAGAUUAUUUCACUUUUGUCUUUGUAUUCCCCAAGGCCUACCACUGUUGUCUAGCCUAUUAAAAGCAUCUAAUAAAUGUUGGUUUUGUGGUGAGAGGAAGUAAAGGAUGAAUUAGCAAAAUGGAAAUUUGUAUUGUUGAGUGGUUGCUUUCAAUUAGCUGAUAAACUUAAAAAGUAGGUAUAAUUAAGGUGGUGCCAGAGAGAGGGCUGGUGCUUCCAUCCAUAAGAAUUAUUAGCCCUCUUAUUUCUGGGGAAUCUACAGCAAAAAUUAUGGCUGAAUGUAUUAGGAUGAGAACUUAGGUCCAGAAACAGGCUUUUCUAUCACUGUUGUAAUACAACUUCUGCAUAUAGGGUUCUGAGAGAAGGGCCAAUACUUUUUUUUUUUAACAUCCUUACCUUCAAUCUUAGAAUCAAUACUGUGUAUUGGUCCCAAAGCAGAAAAGCCAUAGUGGUUGGGCAAUGGGGGUUGCCUGGGGUCACACAGCUAGGAAAUGUUUGAGGUUAAAUUUGAACAGAGGGCCUUCAGUCUCUAGAUCCACAGAACUACCCAGCUAUUUGCUUUUGUUGAAUAAAAUAAGCCAUUCAGCCUCAGCCAGUUAAGUCUUGUCAGUUUUCGUGAUGCAAAUUUGGCACCUAGCUGCACUAACUAGCAAAAGCUCUUACUUUGUCAAUUAAGGCAUCAUGACAUCAUGAAGCUGGGAAAGAAGGCUGUCCUUUUUCCUAUGGGAAUUGUCAUGAAGUUGCCUAGUUUGUACAAGGAAUAUAGUCAUGAGCUGUAUAGACUGCAGAUAAGGAUUUUUAGCUUAAUCAGAGGUAAUAAUUCAAAGCAGUAAUUCCCCUUUGCAUGAAUGGAUGGUGUAAAACAUUUAAUUCACAAGGACUGAAGUUUGAGUAAUAACCCUUUUUAGGGAACAAGAGGAAGAACUAGAAAAGAAAUUAGAAGUUAAAAAUUCAAUAUGGUAUAUAAUGUUGAGACCAGAGCAAGUUUCAAGAAGGGUGUUUCCAAUAGUGCCUUAUGCUGCAGAGACCAAAGAAAUUAGGACUAAAAAAAAUUCAUUGGAUUUUGCACCUUCAAGAGUUUUCAGUACAGAAACUGAAUUACGGUGAAAAGAAUAGGAAGUGAGGAAAUAGAGAUAGUGUAUUUAGCCCACACAAAUGAAAAGUUAGGUAGGAAAGUAAAGAUAAAUAAGAUAAGGAGCUAAUCGGAGAAAGGAAGGCUCUAACAGAGAACAGGAAGAUAUUAGCAAGCAUACAGGUCCUUUAUAAAAUGUUGGAUUAAACUGAAGAAAUAAAGAUAACAAGAACUUAGCACAUGGGAAGGCAAAUGAUUGAAGAGCAGAGGUUGGGGAUGUGUUGACUGGAAAAGGAGACAGUUGAAAUGCCUUUCUUCAACAUCAGAAAGAACAAAUGUACAGUAGAGAGAGAACUUUUGACUUUCAGUAAUAAAUCUACAGAGAAACAAGAGAAAAAGGGGGCUGUCAGAAAAAUCUCGAAUCAUAGAAGCCCUAGCUUGUAGGGGUGAGCAUUAAAAUGAGUGACCGCUGAUCACUGGAGAAGCCUGGACAAGUUACAUAAAAGGGUUUUUUACUCACCUUGUAUUGGUUACUAAAUAUAUCUGCUCCUUAGCUCCAUAAAAGAGCAGGUACCAAAAGGUGAAACUUUUCACUCAAAAGGUUUUAGGUUGUUUUUCAUUUUAUUUGUUCAUUUCUAUUCAUAAUUCAAAGUUGCUUGCAUGCCAUCACCAGUAUUAGUGAUUAAAUAUUGUAAUGAACCGCAGCAUUACAUCGCCAACUUAUAAACUUCUUCUCUAGUGAAAUCUAUAUACAAACUCUAAAUUAUUCCCCUAGGGAAUCUAGCUAUAUUCUAAAGCACUUGUGUAGGAUGGAACCCUAGCUGUGUUCAUUUGGACAAGUCAGCUUCUUUAAACUUAUUUCAUCCUCUAAAAUGAGAUCAAUACUUAGAACAUGCUAAACAAUUCUUAAAAGUUUCUAGACAUGUCUCCCUCCACCAAGUUUUACAUACAAGGAAACUGAGAGCCUGAGACAAGAAGUAAUUUAUCUAAGGUUACUUGGCUAGGUAGUGAGAAUGAUAAUUUCUAAUUCCCAGACCAGUGAUCUCCUUCACAAUUUAACUCUUUCAACGCUAUGCCCUUCUUUUAAAAAUAUGACUUAAAUAUAGCUUACAUAACCUUUAAACUAUAUGAUAAAAAUCAAGAACCUAACCCUUUGUCAAGAUUAAUUGGAAGGGAGGGGGAAAAGUACAAGAAAAAGAUUAGGAAAUAUUCCAAAAAAUCCUCUAAGAUAAACUUAUAUGGAAUGCUGUAUUUAAAAAAAUUCUUUUCCAUAACUUGGUCACCCAUUAUGAUCAUAUUAUUCUUCUGAAAAGUUAAUGAUUGGAAAGUUAUCACCAAAUAACUUACUUCUAUAGGAUGUAUUCUAAAAUUUUGCAAUUGCUGAAAGCUUAAUAAACUUCAAAAUUCAACAACAGAACAUAAAUAAAAAUGGUAGCAGUUGAAUGUUCGUGGCAAUUGAAAUUUCAUUUGUAGAUUGAUUUUUCAGGUGUAGAAAUGAGAAAACCGGCAAACAAAAAAAUGUGAUUUCAUACAAAGCAGUUAAAUAAGCUAUAGAGAUAAGAACAAUAAGUUUUAAUGUGACAAAUCCAGGGAAAGAUUAGAGUGGAGGCUUCAUAAAACAGAGGCAGAGAAAAUUUCACUUUUGUAAAAAGCAUUUGGAACAAUCUGGACUGCAAAUAAAAAUACAGGGAGACUAAAAAGGGGAUGGUACAGUAGUCCAAACAGAUUUUAUUUAAAUUGUCCACAUAUCACCAUAUCAUCCAAUGGUAAUGUGUUUAAAAUAAUGCCAUAACUGAAAACAAAGGGAUUAAUGUAAUAAAAAUAAGCAACAUCUGACCCAGGACAUAAACGCUAUACUUUUUAAAUGUUUCAAGUAUUCCAGCUUAGGGGAUAUAACCACUUUUUUUCAUCUUAAAAAAUGGCAUCAAAGGUGGUUACAAUGCCUUUCGUCUUUUUAAGAUGUCCUGAUGAAAGAGAGCUCUCAUAAAAGGACACCCUGUGAUUAGUAAACACAAUGUUCAGGCCAAAGGUCUUAUAAUCAGUAAUUUACAUCUCUGUAAUAUAUAACACCUCUAUGUGAUUUGAUGUCAAAGGAAAAUGUUGAUAAUUCCUUCACUUAAGAACAUAAAACCAUUUUUUAUGACUGGUUCUGGGCCCUAUUUAAUAAAGAUCACAAUUUUGAAUUUGACUAUUGGAAAAAAUAUUUACUUUUUUUGGCAAUUACAAAUCAAUAAAAAUCAGCUCCUUCCUUUGGUCACUACCUACACUGAAGUUCUAAGCAUCAAACAAAGCCCCAAAGUGAGUUUCAAUUGGUUUCUGGUCAUGCAAAAUUUGGAUUAACAUCUUUUACCUAAAAUUCUAGUUGUAGAGAUUACUAAAAGGAGCUGAUAGCUAUGAAAGGAAAAAGGGCAAAUCUCUAAGAAACAUCUUGCUGCCAUUUAUAGGUUUAACCACUCUAUAUACUUCUUUAGUUCAUAGUUUUUCUUUUGCUCUUUCACAUAAUAAAGGGAAAGUGCUAUUUGGUAAAUACUAAAGUACUAUUUGGUAAAAAUCCUGGAGUUUCAUAGAUAAAAAAAAAUGUAUUGCAUUACCUGGUGAAAAGUACAUAUUGAGGUACGUAUUAGGUCUACUGACAUUUCUGAAUGGAAUAGCAUAGAAAAACUACACACUGUAAUGACCUACUAUUAAUAUAUAGUUCCAAUUUCCUAGAGUGCUAUUUUAUGCUUUGCAAGCUUCACUCAGACAAGCCAGUCAAAAGCCUUGCAUGUGGUAUGCAAGCAUAGCCAAAACACACAAAUUUGUUAUUUUUUGGUACAACAGAACUUAGAAGGGCCAUUCUAAUAAAACUAUUUAGUAGGUGCUUCUAAGCCCAAUAAGGAGUACAAAAAUAAACAAAUUAAGAAUGUAUAUAAGCAUGGACAUUUGCACUCAUGGUAUGGUACAAUGAAGGUAAUUAUAAACAAAGAGACAAAUCCUUCAAAAGGGAAGAUGACAAUUUUUUAUUGUUAUUACAAAGGCAAUUUUUAACUUGUCAUUAUGAAUAGCCGCAAGAGCAGACUAAGCGUAAUCCUCACACAGGCAUCAUGUUAGGCACAGUAGGUAGCUAUAAAUCAGAUGGAAAAUGAAUUUUAACUGUGGAUCCCCAAAAUUCUCACUUUAUUAAAGAGAGAUUAUUCCUUGACUUGGACUUUUGUUUUUAAAAUACUGUAACCAAUCCCUUUAUCCUCCCCAUUUAAAAAUAAAUUGAAAGUCAUAAAAAAUCCUGGGGGAUUUCUAUAUUUAAUAUCGGAAUUAAAAGAAACUCAAGUCUAUUAGGAACAAAGAGGGGGUAGACAUUCAGCAAUUCAUUACCAAUGAAUAUUUGAGAAUACACUGUGUAUAAGUAUUCAGUAUCCAUUCAUAAAAAUAAAGGCUGUUUGACCCACAGCCAGUCUUGUUUCACCAAAUACAUACAACAUACAUAAGGAAAAAAAAUAAUUCUCUAAUAACUAAAUUCUCAAAAUUCCUACUUAAUGUUCAUAUGGGUAACAGGGAAGAAAUUCAAUUACCCUGGGAAUGCACAAGCUAUAA